rnacentral:rRNA from 1 species
GACGAACGCUGGCGGCGUGCCUAAUACAUGCAAGUAGGACGCAGUUGCGAACGGGUGAGUAACGCGUGGGUAACUACCUAUUAGAGGGGGAUAACUAUUGGAAACUAUAGCUAAUACCCCAUACUAGUAGAUUGACCUGCGUUGUAUUAGCUAGUAGGUAGGGUAAUGGCCUACCUAGGCUACGAUACAUCGCCGACCUUGGAAGGGUAUCGGCCACAAUGUGAAUGAGACAAGGGCCAGACGCCGACGGGCGGCCGCAGUAGGGAAUCUUCGGAAAGGGGGGGAAACCUGACCGAGCAACGCCGCGUGAGUGAAGAAGGUUUUCGGAUCGUAAAGCUCUGUUAUUAAGGAAGCGGUACUUAACCAGAAAGGGACGGCUAACUACGUGCCAGCAGCCGCGGUAAUAC